UUGAGAUCCUAGAAUUGGUAA
rnacentral:piRNA from 1 species